AAUAUGGUCACGUCCUUCAAACACCUGAGAGACGAGAAGAGUUUUACAGAUGUAACGCUCGCCUGUGACGGACAGACUUGCAAAGCCCACAAGAUGGUUUUAUCUGCGUGUAGUCCGUACUUCAAAUCCUUGUUAGAGUCUCUCUAUAUACAGGAAAAUCCGUCCAAGCAUCCAAUAAUAAUUCUUAAGGAUGUAGCAUAUAGUCACCUCCAGGCGAUACUGGAAUUCAUGUAUGCCGGUGAAGUGAACGUGUCGCAGGAUCAAUUACCCGCCUUUUUGAAAACAGCAGACCGACUAAAAGUAAAAGGACUGGCCGAGGCGCCUGGAGCCAUUAAAAGAGAGGGCUAAGUUCAUUGAUCGUUUAGUUAUGGGUGCAGACUGUGGGCUGUGUGAUGAUUGAGUAAGAAGAUGAAAAGUGAUGGAUAAAACUGAGAGAAAUACGUGGAAACACAUUGACAAAAACGGAAACAAGAAAAAAGCAGAGAGAAUGAGUAAGGAAACGAAAAAAAGUGAAGAUUGGAUCAUGCAGCGAAAAAGAAAGGAUAGAGAGAGAGAGAGAGAGAGAGUCACCUGUGGUUCGCGACGAGAAUGGAGGGUGGCCGAAUAGUAAAAUUAACAUUAUUUUUCUUUUUUUUCUAAACUACAAUUAUUGUUGACAUUUUACCGAAGAAUAUGCGAAGAAGGUUAAAAAUGAAGAAUAAAAGAACCGAGAAGGAGAAGAAGGAGUUAAUAAAAAGAGUUGUAAGAUUUAAAAGAAGUUCACGUUCACGUCUCGAGCUUGAGGCGAAAUUAUAGGACACAGAAAAUGAAGGAAAGCAACUCUACGGGGCUCACACACACACACACUCAACACAGCACACAAUCACUGAUUAUAUUUUUUGUAAAAAAAAUUGCCCAAAAGACAAGUAACGUUUAAAAUACUUUUGUGACUAAAACCAGGAACUAUUGUUUAUGGAACUUCAUCCAUUUCCAUUUGAAGAAUUCGAUCAAUUGUUCACAUUAAUGAUGAAUCGCGUUUCAUAAGUUUCGAGCAUAAAUUCGCUACCGAUCCAUUUCUCUCACUUCCGGUACAACUGUUACUUUUUCUUCUUUCAUACCUCCAAUUACUCACAAACCCCUUAUCAAUUUAAUUAUUAUUACAAGAAAAAAAAUAUAUAUAUAUAUCGUAAACGGAUCAUCAUUUUGUGCGGUCGGCGGACCGCCGAAAGCCCCGACUAUCUUAUCCAAUGGCCUGAAAUCAAGUUUAUCGGAAGUCGUGUCCUCUACUUUUUACCGUCACCACCUCUUCCCUUUUUCAUAAUUUUCAUAUGCUCUUUUAAAAUCACAAUUUACUCUAAAAUCAUCGAAAUAUCGAUUUAAACCAUGAUGUCCCGUAAACUCUGUCUUUUUUCCCUGAAACAACACUCGAUGGGGAAAAAAAAUCAGAUGAAUUUUUGAUAAUGUGCAUGAAAAAUCGAUUUUUCGUGAAUUUUAAAAACCCUUCAACGAACUGACAAUUUGAGCUAAUCUGACCAAUGUUUGACUUCCGGUAGCCCUGAUUCGCCUGAACCAAAUACUGCCAGGAUUGUACCGGCGUAUUUACAUUAUUACCGAUAGACCAAAUUUAUUUAUGAUAAUAAUAUAUUGAGGGUUGUUGUCUUAAGCUAAAAACAAAAGUAGGGAAGAAGAAAGAAAUGCUAUUGACGAUAAAAGAAAAAGAAAAUAACGAAGACUAACGAUGUAAACACUGAUGAGAAGAAUUUUUGUAACGCCAGAGCGCACAGUUCCUUUCUUUCACUCGUGUUCUCUCUUUUUUACUUUUCAUCGUUUUUCCCUUUUUUUUUCUUUUUAUUUUGUUUCAAAUUCAACUUACGUUUUCUCAAACACCAUUGCAAUAUUGACGAAAAUUAAUAUGCGUUUGGCACUACCAAUAGUGAGCCGAGAUAAUGAUAAACUUAUGAUUUAUGAGGGGUCCUGCAAAUUUGUUGUCUCACGAAAAGAAAAGAAAACGAUAAAAUACCGAAAUCCCUUCGAUUUCUGUCUCAGAUCUGACCUCGAAAGAAAUUCAUCCCAAAUUCGAUUAAGCUCGAGUAAUUUGUUCCGAAAACGACGAAAUAUUUUGUUGAAAUAAGUAUUUUUAAAAUUUUUGCUCAUUGCUACUUAUUUUUCAUAAUUAAGGAUAUGAAAUUUGGCACUUUUUAGGUUUACACAUGAAUUUGCAAUUUUUUAAAUAUUAUUAUAACGAAGGACUUGGGAAUGCACUCAAUUUAUGUUGCAUUCCAACGAUGUUAACUUCGAGUACAUAAAUCCUGAGUCGACGUCCUUUUCCCAUGCACUUUUUUGUUGUUCUAUUUCGUUCCAACGCGGUUAGCCAUUGAUCGAACGAUUUCAACACUCUUCAAACGAAUCUUCGAGUUCCUUGAGUUUCUACUUUAAAUUCCCUUCAUUCGAAAAUGAUUCUUUGAUUAUUAAAAUUCUCCUUAAUUCUCCUGCCAAUACUCGCGCUGCGCGUUCUCUUUCUCCGUUACUUUGCUCCAACAAUCGAUUCGCCGAUCACCUCAUUCAAUAAUCUAGUACUUCGAGCUCAUGUCGCUCUUUCUUUUUCUUCCAAAACUCGAUUGUGAGAUUUGAAAAAAUACUCGAAUAAUGAAGCGCAGCGAAUUUUGUCAUUUUUCAAAUGAGAUUUCACGUCUUUAUUCUCACUUUUUAUGCUCUCGAAGCCUCAAUAAUUUGUUUUCGUCCACUCCCAGUCAAAAUUCCAUUUGACGCCUUUGGUCCAUCGUUUUUUCCCAAAAUGACAAUAAGUUCGAUGUGCAAUGAACGAUCGGCUAACCGCAAUCUGGACAUUCCUUUCGUAGCAAAUCCAACCUCCCUUCAACGAUCUUUUCUCCAAACCCAUUUAUGUUUGUUCGUUUUUCUUAUAUUAUCGUUUACAUCACCGUAGCAAAACCAAACGUCGUUUUGCGAAAUGUUGGGUUUUUUAAUUCCACAGUAUCAGAACCUUCCUCCUUUGCCCCCGCUUAGUGAUAAUUUCGAUAUUGACAUAACUCGAUUACGAUAACGAUUAUAAUAUGAAUAUGUUGAAAUAUAAAAAUAAAUUGUGUAAAUAUUCGAAAA